rnacentral:rRNA from 1 species
AUGAUUUACAGAGUAGUAAUUAAUUGUAAUACUUAUGUCCCAAUCCAAUCCUGCAGGGAAAACUUGCAUGGGACUAUAUCAUCACUAAUGCCAUCAAGUCAUCAAACUCACAAUUCCUUUACUUCAUCGGUUGAUAAGGAGCAUGCCAUGCUGGCACCGUUCACAGCCGGAUGGCAGACCGCAAUCUCACCGCCAUUGAUUAUCGAGAGAUCUGAGGGCUGUUAUAUUUAUGAUGCCAACGGGAACAAGUAUCUGGAUGCCCUUGCAAGAUUAUUGUCUACAGCUUUAGGUGGUAGUGAGCCUCGAUUAGUCAAAGCUCCAACAGAGCAAUUGAACAAGUUGCCUUUCUACCACUCCUUUUAUAACCAUACAACAAGACCCUCUCUGGAUCUUGCGAACGAACUUAUUAGCAUUUUCACUGCCAGGCAAAUGGGGAAAGUCUUCUUUACCUGCAGUGGUUCGGAAGCAAAUGACUCUCAGGUCAAGCUAGUAUGGUAUUAUAACAAUGCAUUGGGGAGGCCAAAGAAGAAGAAAAUCAUUGCACGAUCACAAUCAUAUCAUGGAACAACAUACAUAUCAGCUAGUCUAUCUGGUCUUCCUACGUUGCACCAAGACUUUGAUCUGCCAGGAAAUUUUGUUCUACACACAGACUGCCCUCACUACUGGCGUUUCCAUCUCCCUGGUGAGACAGAAGAAGAAUUCGCAACUAGACUUGCGAAUAAUUUAGAGAAUCUGAUCCUCAAAGAAGGACCAGACAUGAUCGCUGCCUUCAUUGCUGAACCUGUAAUUGGUGCUGGUGGUGUCAUCCUUCCUCCAAAAACAUAUUUUGAGAAGAUUCAAGAAGUUGUUAAGAAGCAUGACAUCCUUUUCAUAGUUGAUGAGGCUCUUUCUUCUGCAUAUGCCCCCAUUGGAGCAAUACUUGUUAGCCGGGAAAUAUCAGAUGUAAUUUAUUCUCAUAGCAAUAAGCUUGGUACAUUUGCUCAUGGAUUUACAUACUCUGGACAUCCUGUUUCGUGUGCUGUGGCUUUAGAAGCAUUAAAAAUUUAUCGGGAAAGAGAUAUUCCUGGUCAUGUAUCACAUGUUGCUCAAAGAUUCCAGGAGGGGAUCAAGGCCUUUGCAGCGGAAAGUCCAAUUAUUUGGGAGACCCGUGGUGUAGGAUUGCUGAUAGCAACAGAGUUCACUGACAACAAAUCACCAUAUGAUUUAUUCCCUUUUGAGUGGGGCAUAGGUGAAACCUUUGGGGCGGAGUGUAAGAAACGUGGUAUGGUGGUUAAGGUUCUUGGGAACUUGAUAGCGAUGUCCCCACCACUAAUAAUAACCCUUGAAGAAAUUGAUAAACUGGUGAGCAUAUAUGGAGAAGCCCUAAAGGUCACAGAGGCAAGAGUAGCAGAGUGUAAAGCCAAGAAGAAGUAGUUAGCAUAUGUAAUGCAUAAUAAUGGUCGCAAGGUUGCGGCAAUGAUAUUGGUUUAUGCAUGGAAUAAAUCCCUUGGUGUUGAGUUUUUAAAUAAUUUGUUAAGAUAUUUAUCUUAUUGUGCCAAAAUAAGGCUAUUAUCUUUCUAAAAGAGCGCAAAAUGUAAUUUUUUU